AGCUGUUCUUCUGGGGAGACCCUUGUAAGGUGGGCAUUGAGGUGUCAGAGGCGGAUGGGACCAAAUAUUUCCGUGGGCCGGGCACCGGGACACCCGUGUACCAGGCCCAUGGCAGGGCCAAGAGCAGGGAUUUCAUCAAUGGGGGAGACACCAUCUUCAUGCUCACCAUGGAGGGUUGUGGUGGUCCCCCUAUUUACCAACACGUCCACAUCAUAUGAAGAUGUGUCCCAUCUGACGGUGAUCCAACCCGUCCCCUCCUCUACCGUGCCACCCGUCACCAUGGUUACCACCGCCAUGCCGCACUCUGACCCCUGCACUAACAUCACGUGUGGGAAUGAGGGAGUCUGUGUAUUGGAUGCUGGAAAGCUGUUUGCAGGGCGUUUUACUGUCGGGGCUUGUAGCUUACACAGUACAAUGGUCUGUACUGUAUUUAUUGUAAUGUAUUGUAUUUACAAACACACAAACAGCCCAGCAGGCAAAACUGGUUAAGAUGUUAUAAUGACGAGUUUGUGGUUAUAACGGCGUUAUUUCAACUAGUUUUGCCUGUGUAGUGACUCCCUCUUUCUCUCUCCACCCUCUAUAUUGGUGUGUCUUGUUAGAUCUCUCUUUCGCUCGAUGUGCAGUGGGUAGAUUGUUGACUCUCACUCAUUCUCUUCCUCUCUGUCCAGGUGUGCUGUGGGUGGAUUGUUCUUUCACUCAUCCUCUUCCACUCCCUAUCCAGAUGUGCAGUGGGUAGAUUGUUGACUCUCUCUCACUCGUUCUCUUCCUCUCUGUCCAGGUGUGCUGUGGGUGGAUUGUUCUUUCACUCAUCCUCUUCCACUCCCUAUCCAGAUGU